GUCAACCACAUCCACAAAUUUUCUGAGAAUGUCAAGGGAUUGAUUUGUUGAACUAAAUUGUUCAUUAACAGUAGCUUUAAUCCCUUGAAUUUCACUCAAAAAUUCACUAGCAGAUUCAGAAUCAACUUUAGCAGAGGAGGAACCACCCUUUUCAAAUCUUUUCUUUCUCCCAUCAGUGUCUGAGUGUAUUUCUCGAAGCACUAUCAAAUCAGUUCUAGAGCUUUUCUUAGAAACAUUCACAUGUAGCUCUUUAAACACAGCAGAUAAAAGAUGUGCAUACGGCAGUUUUCCAAUCCCAUAAGCU
rnacentral:misc_RNA from 1 species